CUUACGUUGAAAGAAGGAAAUAUUUAUCUAAAAUUAUGAAGUUUAUUUAUAUUAUGAUCCUCUUUCUUUCUCUAUUUCUCGUUCAAUUUCUUACAUGCAAAGGAUGUAAGCCAUUUUGCAUUCUUUUAAUUUUUUUUGUCUAGUGAGCCUAGUGAUUGGAGCUCACACAUUAAAAUGUGGAGAAGUUGGGUGUUCGGAGUUCGAACCUCGGCCUCUGCAUAAAUUAUGCAAUGUCCCUGCCAAUUGAGCUAAGCUCACGUGGGGCACAGUUAUGGUGCAUAAUGAAAUCCUUAUGCACCUUGCAUAAAUCCAAAAAUUGUUUCUAUGAGUUGUACUCCAAAACCAUUCGAUGUACGUAAUGAUUUCCAGCACCCUGCAUAAGGAUUUCCAGCACCCUGCAUAAAAGUAUGCCAAAACCAUUUUGCUGUGGAAAUGGUUUCUGUGAGUUGUACUCCAAAACCAUUUGAUUAACCGUUCCAUGUGAAAAUCCAACUACUUGUCCAGAAGAUUUCUGUACGCCUCCAAUGAUUACACGGUGUAUUAAUUUCAUAUGUUUAUGUGAUGGUCCUGAAUAUGCCGAACCGGAAUAUGAUGGUCCUGAACCGGAAUAUGAUCACAAGGGUGAUUUUUUGAGUGUGAAACCUAAAAUUAUAAAUGAAAAUAUGAUGAUGAGAGAGAGGCACAUGAUGAAAGAAAUAGAGGUAUAAAGUCCUUAUAUAUGAUUACAAGAACUAAGAAAUAUUAUUUAUAAUAAAGUAUGAAAUAAUUUGUAAUUUAAUAGUUGUAUUGAACCCUAUUGUUGGAAUUAUUUUGUUAUUAAUUUUCUUCCUUUUCAAA